GAUGAAGAACGCAGCGAAAUGCGAUACGUAAUGUGAAUUGCAGAAUUCAGAGAAUCAUCGAAUCUUUGAACGCACAUUGCGCCCGCCAGCACUCUGGCGGGCAUGCCUGUUCGAGCGUCAUUUCAACCAUCAAGCCCCAGGCUUGCGUUGGAGCCCUGCGGCUGCCGCAGCCUCCUAAAAGCAGUGGCGGGCUCGCUAUCACACCGAGUGCAGUAGAUUACUCUUCGCUCAGGGCGUGCAGCGGGUUCCGGCCGUGAAACCCCCUACUUUUAAAGGUUGACCUCGGAUCAGGUAGGAAUACCCGCUGAACUUAAGCAUAUCAAUAAGCGGAGGA
rnacentral:misc_RNA from 1 species